rnacentral:rRNA from 1 species
AGUGAACGCUGGCGGUAGGCCUAACACAUGCAAGUCGAACGGCAGCACAGUAAGAGCUUGCUCUUACGGGUGGCGAGUGGCGGACGGGUGAGGAAUACAUCGGAAUCUACUUUUUCGUGGGGGAUAACGUAGGGAAACUUACGCUAAUACCGCAUACGACCUACGGGUGAAAGCAGGGGAUCUUCGGACCUUGCGCGAUUGAAAGAGCCGAUGUCGGAUUAGCUAGUUGGCGGGGUAAAGGCCCACCAAGGCGACGAUCUGUAGCUGGUCUGAGAGGAUGAUCAGCCACACUGGAACUGAGACACGGUCCAGACUCCUACGGGAGGCAGCAGUGGGGAAUAUUGGACAAUGGGCGCAAGCCUGAUCCAGCCAUACCGCGUGGGUGAAGAAGGCCUUCGGGUUGUAAAGCCCUUUUGUUGGGAAAGAAAAGCAGCAGGUUAAUACCCCGCUGUUCUGACGGUACCCAAAGAAUAAGCACCGGCUAACUUCGUG